rnacentral:rRNA from 1 species
GACGAACGCUGGCGGCGUGCUUAACACAUGCAAGUCGAACGGAAAGGCCCUGCUUUUGUGGGGUGCUCGAGUGGCGAACGGGUGAGUAACACGUGAGUAACCUGCCCUUGACUUUGGGAUAACUUCAGGAAACUGGGGCUAAUACCGGGUAGGAGCUCCUGCUGCAUGGUGGGGGUUGGAAAGUUUCGGCGGUUGGGGAUGGACUCGCGGCUUAUCAGCUUGUUGGUGGGGUAGUGGCUUACCAAGGCUUUGACGGGUAGCCGGCAUGAGAGGGUGACCGGCCACAUUGGGACUGAGAUACGGCCCAGACUCCUACGGGAGGCAGCAGUGGGGAAUAUUGCACAAUGGGCGGAAGCCAGAGGCAGCAACGCCGCGUGCGGGAUGACGGCCUUCGGGUUGUAAACCGCUUUCGCCUGUGACGAAGAGUGCGUGACGGUAAUGGGUAAAGAAGCACCGGCUAACUACGUG